AGUGAACGCUGGCGGUGGGCCUAACACAUGCAAGUCGAACGGCAGCACAGUAAGAGCUUGCUCUUACGGGUGGCGAGUGGCGGACGGGUGAGGAAUGCAUCGGAAUCUACUUUUUCGUGGGGGAUAACGUAGGGAAACUUACGCUAAUACCGCAUACGACCUACGGGUGAAAGCAGGGGAUCUUCGGACCUUGCGCGAUUGAAUGAGCCGAUGUCGGAUUAGCUAGUUGGCGGGGUAAAGGCCCACCAAGGCGACGAUCCGUAGCUGGUCUGAGAGGAUGAUCAGCCACACUGGAACUGAGACACGGUCCAGACUCCUACGGGAGGCAGCAGUGGGGAAUAUUGGACAAUGGGCGCAAGCCUGAUCCAGCCAUACCGCGUGGGUGAAGAAGGCCUUCGGGUUGUAAAGCCCUUUUGUUGGGAAAGAAAAGCAGCAGGUUAAUACCCCGCUGUUCUGACGGUACCCAAAGAAUAAGCACCGGCUAACUUCGUG
rnacentral:rRNA from 1 species